rnacentral:rRNA from 1 species
AUACGUAGGGGGCGAGCGUUGUCCGGAAUGAUUGGGCGUAAAGGGCGCGUAGGCGGCCCGGUAAGUCUGGAGUGAAAGUCCUGCUUUUAAGGUGGGAAUUGCUUUGGAUACUGUCGGGCUUGAGUGCAGGAGAGGUAAGUGGAAUUCCCAGUGUAGCGGUGAAAUGCGUAGAGAUUGGGCGGAACACCAGUGGCGAAGGCGACUUACUGGACUGUAACUGACGCUGAGGCGCGAAAGUGUGGGGAGCAAACAGGAUUAGAUACCCUGGUAGUCCACGCUGUAAACGAUGAAUGCUAGGUGUAGGGGGUAUCGACCCCUUCUGUGCCGCAGUUAACACAAUAAGCAUUCCGCCUGGGGAGUACGGCCGCAAGGUUGAAACUCAAAUGAAUUGACGGGG